rnacentral:rRNA from 1 species
UACGUAGGGGGCGAGCGUUGUCCGGAUUUAUUGGGCGUAAAGAGCGUGUAGGCGGCCAGAUAAGUCCGGUGUGAAAGUCAGAGGCUCAACCUUUGAAUGCCGCUGGAAACUGUCUGGCUAGAGUCCGGAAGGGGCGAGUGGAAUUCCUGGUGUAGCGGUGAAAUGCGCAGAUAUCAGGAGGAACACCAAUUGCGAAGGCAGCUCGCUGGGACGUAACUGACGCUGAGACGCGAAAGCGUGGGGGAGCAAACAGG